GACGAACGCUGGCGGCGUGCUUAACACAUGCAAGUCGAACGGAGUGGCGAACGGGUGAGUAUUACGUGAGUAACCUGCUCUCAACUGUGGCAUAAGCCUGGGAAACUGGGUCUCAUACUGCAUAGUUGGGGAUGGGCUCGCGGCCUAUCAGCGUGUUGGUGGGGUGAUGGUCUACCAAGGCGGUGACGGGUAACCGGCCUGAGAGGGUGAUCGGCCACGUUGGGACUGAGAUACGGCCCAGAGUCCUACGGGAGGGAGCAGUGGGGGAUAUUGCACAAUGGGUGCAAGCCUGAUGCAGGGACGCCGCGUGAGGGAUGGAGGCUUUCGGGUUGUAAGCCUCUUACGGUACAGAACGGGUAUGUGCAGAAGAAGCGCCGGCUAACUACGUGCCAGCCGCCGCGGUAAUAC
rnacentral:rRNA from 1 species